GCCCUAACUACAGAUCUAGGAUCAGAUUACCCAACCCUAUUAUUCUAACCUUAGUUCUUAAGAGGGAGUGACUGGGAACUGACCUUGGAUCAGUGCCUAUGGGCUACUUCAUUCCAUUCUUACAUAUAGAUGUUUACAUAGCUGCUGGUGGGAAGGCACUGUUGUGCUAGUGGUCUAUGAGUGGUGGGACGCCCUCUGCUGGACUGAGGCGGUAUUGAUAAUGCUGUACUGUAUAACCCAGUAUCACGCUAUACUGAUAAGGGGAGUGAGCUGAGGUCUCACAGAUCCCUACAGUGGAGGAAGGCUGAUAAACUAACUGAUUUUAAUAAAGAAGCAAUGACAAUACUCCCCCCUCAGCAUGACAGCACUUGUAUUGGUCAGAGCCAUAUUUAAAUGUAAGCUAAACAUGGCUUUGGUAUUGGACCAAUCCCAUGGGAUAUGUAUUUUAUGACAUUCUUCUAUGCUGUGGUCCAUGGCUCCUUUUCUGACAGUCACAGUUGCUGCUACACAGCUGUACGGUGCAACCUGGAGAUGCUACGUACGAAAAGGGCAAUGAAAGGUGUGUGUGAUCCGUACACUGUUCUGUUGACUGAUAUCUCGCUGUGACAUCUCUUACGGCCCUCGUGGUCCUCGGGACAAAGCACUUACUGCGUUUUUAUUUGGACUUUUUAUUCAUUUUUUUUUUGUUUUUGUUUUUUGCGAAUGAAUGGUCAAAGACCUGCUUCAGCAAAGAGAUGUACAGAUUCAUAUUAUUUAAAAAUGGCAUUGAAUAAAACUAUAGAAUGGGACGACUGUCUGCUUUCUCUCUAGCUGGAUUUCAGGAUUUCUAGCCAACUAUCGACCCACACCUGCCAUGAAUAACUAGGAAGCAUCGAGUAGCAGUGACUUUGGAAAUGGUGACUCAAGACUAUGUACUUGAAUGAAUAUGUGUGUGUGUGUGUGUGUGUGUGUGUGCUUGCAAGGUGGUUGUUCUUUUCCCUCUGUUUCCUGUCUCACUGCUCGUCUUUGAGCUUCAGAUUAUACCAUUUCCUCUCACACCUGUGACUGUGUCACGUCCUGAUCCUUCCACCCCUGCCCGUAUUUAUCUAUUCUUUUUAUUUCUCUCUCCCGCUCUCUCUCCCUCAAUGUAGGUAAGUGACUGCUUACGCUACUCCUUUCCUAUUCAACUUUGGAAAAUGAUUUGUUAUGCAUUUUAUUGUCAUGUAGUCCUCACACAUUGUGUGCAUCAGGGUAAUUGCAUCAAUGUGUUAUCCCCUACCUCAAGGGGAUUUUGUUUUGGAAAAAUAUUUAGGCUGUGUCCUCAGUCUUUCUCAGCCUGGGGUCUAGCUUACCUGUGUCAACAUGGUGACGGCGCCAGGUGUACUGACGACCCUUGUGUUAACAGGAUUGUGUGUCCACGUCACAGGAUCAUCUAGAGCCGUCUGUACCACCCGUCUGUAUUCCCUGAACUUAAACUGUGUCCUGCAGUGGGAUUGUCCACAGGCGAACGCUACCACCACCUACACCGUCCAAACUAAGACUCAGGGUGAUUCGUGGCAGGACGUGGAGAGUUGUGUGCGGUUCUCCUCCCAGCUGUGUGACCUGUCCGAGGCCUUCUCUAACUUCGAGGUGUACAACAUGAUCCGCCUGGGCCUCCACCAGGGCCCGGGGAGUCCAGCCUGGACAGAAAAUCUGGGGUUUGGCGUCCGUGAUUUCAACUUCAGCAGCCCCUCUGUCUUGGUCUCUCUGUCUGGAGAGAUGCUGGGAGUGGAGGUGCACUUACCUUGUUCUAGCAAAAGGGAGUGUCUUCCUCUGCAGAGUUGCUGUCCACUGUCAAAAUUUAUUGACCUCUGGGUCACCGUGACAGUAUAUGACCGGCAGAACCCCUCCGACUACAAGACGCAGAUUGGUUUGGUCCAGACGAUGGUGUAUGGGGCAGAGUUCUCAAACCUGGUCCCAGGACAUGACUACUGUGUCGUGGCUAACUUCUCCAUCAGUCCGGCCACCUUCCCCCAGGCCUCGUCUCCUCCCUCGGACCCCAGUUGUGUCCACCAUGCUGGCCCAGGACUAGGGUUGCAGCCAGUGUUGUUGGGGAUAGGAGUGUGUGCUGUACUCUUCUCUCCUCUCCUUGCUCUGGCUCUGUACCUGCUGAAACAAAAACGAGAUGUACCACACGUAAACAGACUCCCCAAGUCUCUAGCAUCUCUUCAGGCAUUCCUCCAGGACCUACCGGAGUCCCCUUCAGACCCUGUUGACCCCAGUGACAUUGUAGACGACCACCUCUCCAUCCUGUCCUCUUUCUCCAGCUGUGUCUACACCGAGGCCCAGGCCCCAAGCCUGGGUAAUGGGUACAACAGCAACCCCUUCCUCCGUGACUAUAGGUCAGGCAACAUGCACUGGAACACUGAGAGAAUGGAGCUGGACCUGAACUCAGGCAGCACCAUAUCCCUGCCAUGCUCCACUGUGCCUAUAGGCCUGCAUAUGAUCCAGUGCAGCUUUGAUUCACCUCGACAACCACAUCCAGGGCCCAAUGUGCCAGUUCUACCGUACCCUGGUUCUCUAUCUCUGUCAGAGGCCGUGGAGGGCCAGGUGGUCCCGUUGUGUUCUGUGAGGUUUGGGAGGGUGAGUGAUGGGUGUGAGAACCUUGAGGGACUACAGUGGUGUAACCUGUAGCAUGUUGCACUGCAGUACUCACAAUGCCAUGUUUAACAUAUUCCUAUGAACUCCACAGUGCUGAGAGGAGUUCAAAAACUUUAUUGACCAUUUUUGUUGAAAAUUGUAAUUUUUUUCCCUCAGCUUACAGACAUACAUUUUCAGUUCCAACAGGACUGUGGUAUGGUCCAGCACCUUACCAAGGUCAACCAUAACAGGGACAAUACUGGACAGUGCAAUCAUAAACACAUACACUCUUAGAAAAAAGGGUUUCAAAAGGGUUCUUCGGCUGUCCCCAUAGGAGAACCCUUUUCGGAACCAAAACUAUUCUUCCUGGAACCAAAAAGGGUUCUUCAAUGGGUUAUCCUAUGGGGACAGCCGACAAGGUUCUAGAUGGCACCUUUUUUUUUCUAAGGGGGGUUUAUUAUUCUGACUCCCCUUUAAAUUUACUUUGUCUACUGUGCCAAGUGUCUUUUCAGCUCUUUUUCUGUGUCAUAAUAGGUUGUUCUUCCCCCUCUCUCUGCCUUGCUUCUGACUCACUGUUGCCCCAUCCCAUCUCCGGCCUGACCCCCACUGUCUCUUACCCGUGUCUGACAUCUCAUUCUGGGGGAGGAGGGCAGAGGGUAGGGGAACAUCUCUCUCCUGCCUCUUGUUUCACUGGUGGUGCACUUUCCCCGGAACAUUAGAACAUUCGGGGGUAGAGACAGAGGAGACGUUGGAUGGGAAACAGUGAUUGGCCCUAUUGUUCUGGAAACCACAUAGCCUGUGUAUGGCUCAUAAUAAUAUCACUGUCUGGAGGAUUUUGAUUCAUGUAUUCAUGUUGUUGGUCUAAUAUUGGGGUUGGAUCAUGAGUCCAAACUAAGCAGUGUGUUUGCUUGCCAAUCAUAAAUGCUAAUUCUCAGGCAUCCAACAGGUAUCGCAUCUAACCUUGCACUUGGGUUUUUGGAGCAACUUUUAUGGGUUCUGCUGUAUUUGCAGUCAAUUCACCGGAAACCUGAUCCAAAAUGGUCGCUUUGUGGCUCACUCUUCACUGGUGUGUGCUGGCUAGCUCUGCAGCUGAGGUGGUGAAGUUGGAUUGGGGAUUUACGUGGUGUUUGACAGGCAGUAAAAAAUGUUGGGGGGGGCUUGCCUGUUAUGCAUGUUAUUUUGGCAUUAAAUGUCACAUCAGUUUGCAAACAAUGCAAUAAAAAUAAAUCAAUGAGUUAAUAAAGCCGCAUACAAACAAUGGUCUCGUUUUUGCUUUCUAAGGCAGCUCC
ensembl:lncRNA